rnacentral:rRNA from 1 species
GACGAACGCGGGCGGCGCGCUUAAUACAUGCAAGUGGGACGCAAGAGGACACACUGUGCUUGCACACCGUGUUUUCUUGAGUCGCGAACGGGUGAGUAACGCGUAGGUAACCUGCCUAUAGCGGGGGAUAACUAUGGAAACGAUAGCUAAUACCGCAUAAUAUUAAUUAUUGCAUGAUAAUUGAUUGAAAGAUGCAAGCGCAUCACUAGUAGAUGGACCUGCGUUGUAUAAGCUAGUUGGUAAGGUAAGAGCUUACCAAGGCGACGAUACAUAGCCGACCUGAGAGGGUGAUCGGCCACACUGGGACUGAGACACGGCCCAGACUCCUACGGGAGGCAGCAGUAGGGAAUCUUCGGCAAUGGACGAAAGUCUGACCGAGCAACGCCGCGUGAGUGAAGAAGGUUUUCGGAUCGUAAAGCUCUGUUGUAAGUCAAGAACGUGUGUGAGAGUGGAAAGUUCACACAGUGACG